GCGGCGGUACCGAAGUGGUCCAACGGGUUGGAUUUAGACUCCAAUAGCUUAGUGCUCUCGCAGGUUCGAAUCCUGUCCGCCGCA
rnacentral:tRNA from 1 species